CACGUAGGGCGCAAGCGUUGUCCGGAAUUAUUGGGCGUAAAGAGCUCGUAGGUGGUCCGCUGCGUCCGCUGUGAAAUCCCAGGGCUUAACCCCGAGCCUGCAGUGGAUACGGGCAGACUAGAGGUAGGUAGGGGAGAAUGGAAUUCCCGGUGUAGCGGUGAAAUGCGCAGAUAUCGGGAGGAACACCGGUGGCGAAGGCGGUUCUCUGGGCCUUACCUGACGCUGAGGAGCGAAAGCGUGGGGGAGCGAAACAGG
rnacentral:rRNA from 1 species